AUGAGGAUGUUGGGAGAAUACGUUCCCGAGGAGUUGGGCCUAGCAAUAUGGCAGCGCACGUUCCAUAGGAAAUCCUGCAGAAUGCUGCUGAGCUCUGUUCCCAAGGAGGGCACAAUCCCUGUGCUCCCUGCCCCGCUCCAGCCUCCACCACUGCAGGGACAGAGCUUCCUCCACCCCAAAAUUCCAACAGGAAAGCCACCCAGGAUUUUCAAAGAUGCUGCAGCACGAGUUUUGGCUUUUAAGAUGCUUUUAAGCCCUCGAGCAGCGUGGUGUUAA
rnacentral:lncRNA from 1 species